rnacentral:rRNA from 1 species
UACGUAGGGUGCAAGCGUUGUCCGGAAUUAUUGGGCGUAAAGAGCUCGUAGGCGGUCUGUUGCGUCGGCUGUGAAAACCCGAGGCUCAACCUCGGGCCUGCAGCCGAUACGGGCAGACUAGAGUUCGGCAGGGGAGACUGGAACUCCUGGUGUAGCGGUGAAAUGCGCAGAUAUCAGGAGGAACACCGGUGGCGAAGGCGGGUCUCUGGGCCGAUACUGACGCUGAGGAGCGAAAGCGUGGGGAGCGAACAGG